rnacentral:lncRNA from 1 species
UCUCCCCUUCUUCCUCCUUUUCUUCCUCCUCUUCUUCCUCUUCUUCUUCUUCAUCCUCUUCCUCUUCUUCUUCAACAAGAACAGCGACGACAACACCACCACAUGGGAAAAAUGAAUGGGGGAAACUAUAAUUUAAAAGAGACUUCAGAUAUGCAACAACUAAUAGUAAGAUGGUUGACCCGGGGCCACUAAAAUGGACAACUCUUUGGAAUGAGUCUGGUGAAGAAGAGG